GGGGGCAUCUCCUUAAGGGAUAAAUCUAUCUCCUCUUUGGUGAAGGGGUCAUCCAAGAUGGGCAGCUGUACUGACUGGGUGAUAGAAUUGAGAUCAAGAAGCAUUCCAGUGUAUUCUGAUACACCCAAUCUAUCCUUGAAAGAGUUCCACAAAAUCCCAGCCUUUAGGUCAUGGUCAAAAAUAGGUUCUCCAUCAUCAUUAAUAAGAGAAGCACGAAUUUCUUCUAAAGGAAUGAGUUGCCAUUGCCUGAAAGAGACUGGAAUUCUCAUCACCAAAUUUAACCCACCUGACAGUGGAUCUUUCUUUCCAAUAAACCCUUUUAGCCUCAAGAAGUUUUUGGAGAUAAACCUUAACAAUCUUUCUGAAGUUUGAUUCAACCAAGCAAAGACUUCUCUGAUCUUCCAAACCAUCAAGCAUUGCUAAAACCCAAUUACAAUUGCUGAUCAGUUUAUUCAGCUUUGAUAAUUCUUUACUCCAUAGUUUCGGACCUUUCCUGAGCUGCUUGAAUUUUCAACUAAUAGUUUUUGUCAUGUUACUGAAGAAAGGGUUAGAGUCCCAAUGAAGUUUCACUGUGUCAAAAAAACCUGGAAAUUCCACCAAAUAAAUUUCAAACCUGAAAAUAGAAGCUCUAGGGAUAUGUGAAUUCAUUUGCACAACAUAUGGUAUAUGGUCUGAAAUAGGUCUGGAUAAAGGAUACGUGAGUCCAUGAUGGUGAAGUGAAAACCCAAUCUAAUUUCUCUAGUAGAGGAUCAGCUUGCAUGUUGCUCCAAAUAUACUGUCGUCCUUCAAAGGGUAUGUCAACCAAGUCAAGGUGCUGUAUAAGAUCAUUGAAAAGCAUCAUAUCACCCACAUUACCACCUGGCUUAUUUGGUGAUCUAAUAAGAUUAAAAUCCCCGCAGCCUCGGUGCUAGCUUGGUCCUUGAAUUCAUGGCGGUUCUUGUUCAGACGUGAGCAGCGACGAAGAAACUUUGUAUCCAGAAGUCCUCUAGGCUUCCUAGCACGCCUCUCACGGGGGGUCUUGGUGGCUAGCAUAGCAUCAAUGAUCUUGACAGCAUCAUCAUAUAUUAGAGCUCAUUGCUUCCACAGGCGCCAUCGGAUCAACUAGAGCCUUGGCCAGAUUUCAAAGAGCAUCACAAUCAGCAAAGAAAGAAGGGACAAGAGUGUCCAAAUUGAUGAUAAGACAAUUAUGAUGUGCAAAGGAUUCAAAAGAUGGAUUAGAAAGGAAUAGAAAUGAGCGAUUGAUCACCUUCUGCGACACUGAAAGUAGAGGAAUCAGUUCAAGAUCCACUGCAGGUUCAUCCACUGGCACGUUAGACCUGAUCAAACUGCAUGAAGCUCCAAAAUCCUCUGCUGCAGGUGACAGUUCUGCCUGACUCCCUAUAGUGUUUGACUGGUUGUCCUGCUAAUCUAGACCCCGUUGAUCAACUGGAGGCAUCUUCUCUUGAACACCAGUGGCUCCUCCAGCCGCUGGCAUGAAGCCCACACCCCCCAUCUUGACAUCAGAGCUCUUAGUAUGAACAUCCACAUGGAUGGGCAUCCAGCGAGGAGCCGGGUGUGGCAGAGGAUGGGCAGGGCCAUGCUCUGGUGGUGGUUGCUCAUCCGCCCCAACAACAACAUCAGAAGCUCUGAGAAUGUAGAUCGGAACAGUGAAGGUCCUGACCUUUGGUGCAUCUCCCACCAAAACAACAAUAUCAUCUGGAAUGUCUUGUUCCUCGUUAACCAAAGCCUUUGCUAUGAUUCUAGCAACUGUAAUAGACUCGUGCACAUGAAGCAACUGAGCAAAACUACAGAUGGACUUAGCUAUCAGAGAUAAAGAACAACCAUCCAAAGGAUACAUCAGCAUGAGCCAAACAACUCGAUCCAUUCACUACAAGAAAUCUUCCAAUCUAUAACGAACCCAAAAGUGUCAUAAACGCAUUUUUUUGUCAUUAACCAUGAUUUAUGAUGCGGGAGUGACGAAAACACUUCGUCAUUAGUCGAGUGUAAUAAACCGCGACUAGUGACAUUCCUUAUUUCCCUGAGUCACUAAGACUAUGACGCCUACGAAUCAUCAAAUAGAAAUAUCAUAAAUUGGAUCCUACUGUUUUGCCACGAUGGAGAGAAUCCGAUGUGGCAUGACAAUUGUCACAAAUUGUUUCGUCAUAAAAUGAAUUUGGCCCAUUUGUUGUUGGGUCCAUCCCAAAAUUUUUUCCACAGGCCAAUGUUGUUCAGAUAGCCCAAAAUUGAUUUUGGUAUGCCCAUUUGUUAUUAGGUCGAGCCCAAAUUUGUUCCCACAUGUCAAUGUUGUUCAGAUAGCCUAAAAUUGAUUCCGGUAGGCCCAUUUGUUGUUGGAUCGAGCCCAAAAGUUUUGCAAAUUGUUUGCGGCCCUUUUAUUCCUGAUUUAUGAAUGAAAUUGACUUUUAGCACAAUUAUAUGUGGGCUAAGUCUACUUAAGGAAAACUUAAAUUUAACCAAUCAGGCCUGACAAAUAAUUGAUUUCAUUUCAGUUCCGAUCCGGUUGGUAAAAUAAUAAACAUAACACACAUAUUUUUAUGUAUAUAAGAAAAUAAAUUAUUGUUCCCAUCGAGAUAACCGCUACCAUAUUGUUCAUCACAUAUCACAAACUAUUACAAGAUAACUGUCUCAUAAAGAACAAAGGUUAACAAAGCUGCAUCCAGGUCAUAAUCUCAAGAGACAAAAUAGAGCAUUGAUCUUAACCUCUUGCAGAGGUUAGAAGUUGACGAAGGAGUGCUUCAGUAUCUUGUGUGACCGUCUUCAAGUUCUCAAUCUCGGCUAAUUGCAAUUUGUGAUUUGAUUCUAAUUCUUCUGUCUUCUUCUUCAAGGUAGCUAACUCUUGCUGGUGAGCAACAAACCACUAUCGAAGUUGUACCCCAUCAUGUUUGUCGGCGUCAACUUGCUCCUCAUCAACACUGCUGCAUAAGAUUUGGUAGAGCUUCUUGCGUAGUCCGCUGCCACAACACAUUCUUGCAAGAAGAACCAUUGAUUUGAGAACUUCCGGCUAGCAACAGUGGAUCCGAAGUCAGAUUGUGAUCUUAUAAUUGAUUUAAACAAAGGAAAGAAGGAACGUCAAUAAUCAUCAUGUGUUUAGUUUGUUACCCUGGAGCUAGACUGAAAAGGAGCGACUACAAAUGUUGACCCUCUGGUCGGCUGAAACAGGAUACAGUCAAACUUCAAUUGAUGCAUUUGUUCAAGUAUAAAUUAAGAGCGGAUAAAUAAACAAGCACAAGAACAUGUGGCAAAGGUUGAGAUCAUUCGCAAACUAAAACAAUUUCAUCUAUUAAGUUCUACAAACCACAUAAACAAUUUGACUUGACACAAAAAUAAUUAUUAGAAAAGGUGAAAGAUAAAGGGGAUCUGCUGGAGCAGUAAUUUUUCACCAACUCUACCAAUAGGGUACAACAGAUCCAUAUUCCCCGAUCUAACUACAAUAGUGAAAGACAAAGAGCAUAGGGAAGCAAUCUAGUAAUUUCAUCUAUUAAGUUCUACAAAGAUAAAGGGGAUCUAGUAGAGAAGUAAUUUUUCAUCAACUCUUGCAAUAGGGUACAACAGAUCCACAUUCUGCAAACCAACUACAAUAUUGAAAGCCAAAGAGCAAGGGGAAGCAAUCUAAUAAUUGAAUUUAGCAAUACGGGGAGGAGAUCACUGACUUGAUGAACAUAGAGAGAAGGAGGUGCCGAAUGCUGCCUCGAUUGAGCAUCCCGGGCAUGCGCCGCUUCCUCAGUCUUCUUCGCAUGUACUCGAGCACGGCAGCCGCCGGUGGCAGCCUCGGGGAAGUUGAUGGAGCAACAGCCUCAAACCAUCUUGCAGCUUCAAGCCCAUCACUAAGGUAGCCCACCGAAAGUCUCUUAGGUAGCCCAUUACCCGUCGAGCUUGACGACGCUGCCGAGACCGCACUUGCUGCCGCUACCACCGCCGCAGAUCUACUAGGGCUAUUCAGUGGGAAGAGGAGAGGGGGCUAAUUUUGAAAUUACUAGGCGGGAUGUGGGAGGCUUGGAUCCCCUCUUUUACUUAUUUUAGUAUAUAUAAUGGGGGAGGACCCGGAGGAGGAGCAGGGAAUUUAAAAUUUCAGAUCCCACCUUUGUGCUCGGUAGCGGGAGACGGAACUUUUUGGAAUCCACCAUGAGACCUAGGUCAUUGGCAAGUUGGACCGCUUGGGACUCGAACCCAAGUGUCAGUGACCUUACAUAAAUGAGCGGUUCCAGAAGGGAGUCUGGGAUAGUCCGUGGCAUCACGGCAUUGAUGAGCACUCCACGGAUUAUCCUCCUUUGUAGAUUCAUGUUUGCAGGAUGAUCCGGCUAUUGCAUUCCAAUUGUGCUUCAAUGCAACAAAUUAAUUUACUAUUUUGACUAUUUACAUGAUAAAAUACACUUAAAUAAAACAUUAAACUAUAGUGGAUCUGGGUAGCAGCCUCCUAAUCUUUACUCAACAUUCAAGCUGGAAGCACGUGGAUCUUCUUGAUAACUUCGGGAUGGUGGUAACAUACGAACACAAAAUCCUCUGUGAGUAUUUCGUGCAUCGAUAUUAGCGCUAUGAGAGACAUGCACUUCUCCUGCAAUUGGGUGCAGUUAGUCUCAAAUGCCAAUCGUAGAGAUAUGGUCACAAUUUUCAUGCACUCCAUGAACCACAACUUUGAUGCAUAGUGCAGCUUCAAACGUUCAACGUAGUACAUGUCGGCGAGUGAGAGUAACACGGGCUAGACGUUGACAGGGGUGUCCCAUAAAUCAGCCUCCUCUAGGAGUGAUCCUUCGUAGGCAUAUUUGAUCAGCAGCGUGAACCCAUCAGGGUUGCUUCUUUAAUUGAAACAAUUUAUGACUUUGACUCCACUCGCUGCCAUAGAGAAAUGCAUCCAUCACAUAAGAUAGUGCCACUACAUUGGCCCGACUCGCUCGAAUCACCUGACUACCUAUGUCGAAGACAACGUCCACAGGGGCUUAGGCUACAAUUGUUGUGCAUAUGCUUCUGGCUACUGAUGAAGGUGGAACUUCAAUGCAGUCGUCCUCCAAUACUGUAAUAGUGCAGGAUAUGUUUACACGACCGGAAUGGUCCCACACACGCUCAAUCUCAUGAUGCCCCACGUGGCAGUUAAAGCCUUGUUCUAGAUUCCCAUUCCUGAAUUCAAGUUCCUUUACACCUUGAACUCGAAACGUAUCAUCAUAAUCGGUUGGGUCUCUAGCCACCGCAUGGAACAAGACUCGUACCUCCGAGCAAGAAUUCAUAGGGUUGGCCAUGCUAGCGUAUAUGUGAGGAUGUGUAUUCAUAGCAACGAGAAACCUACCUUUUGCGUGCUGUUCACCAGAAUGACGAUGACGGAAAUUCCUUCUGGUCCUGCUGGUGGGUACCACGGAUCAUGAAUUCCCAUAGGAUAGCAACAUAUCCUCCAUUGACGGCCUCCGAUCAUGAAUGUACUGGAUUCCUUGUAUUGCCAAAUAGUUCCUUCUAUUUUUGCUCCCGUGCUUGAGGUUGAGAAGUCGACUUGCGAUGAAUGGAACAUGUUAGGGUGUAAUGCCAUAACUGCAAAUGACAAUGAUUGACUUGUGGAUACACUGCCUCUUAUAUGUUGGAGUGUGUCAUUCCGAAAUGGCCAUUCGUGAACUUCUGUUACCAGUCUUCAAUGGACACAUCCCUACAAUGUGCGGAUAAGCACGUUGUUCCGAUAGUGGUAGUCAUGAACGCCCGUUACUAGUCUUUAAUGGCCUGUUCUAAAAUGCCUUUUCAAUCUUGAUUCCGACCUUUGGCGGCAUUCGGUCCACCAUAUUCCACCUAGGCCUUGUUGCAUUGGCUAGUUCACGUUUUUCAGGCUCCGCUUGUUGGGAUACGAGGUAGGUUACACUAGCGCAAAUCAAAAUUUCUACCGCGUAAAACCAGGAAGAACUGCCGUAUAAGGAUCACGGGAUUACCACUUGACGCACUACUGGUGCGGAAGAUGUAGAUUUGCGUCGAUGCAGCGAAGUGGAUCAGCGUAGUCGUACGUAGUCGAUCACAUCGACGUCUAGCAGCUCCUCAGCAGCUCGUCCACGUGCAGCAAGAUCUCCCUCGUGCUGCGGCUCGUCGGUGGCUCGUCCAAGUGCUGCAGGCGCAACACCUCCAAGGUAUCCACACCUUCAAGCCGGACUGCUAGGUCCGCGAGUUGCAACAGGCGAGGGCGUGGGAGGCACAGCAGAUGUGUUUCGCCAAAAAGGUGUAAACCCUAGGGCGCCCCCACCCCUCUAUUUAUAGAGGUUCCUAACGGGCCUCUAGGUCCGAGGCCCAUUAGUACUUCUAAACCUAAUCCAACUCAGAUCACAUCCGAAUUGGGCUUCCAGCCCCUUAAGUGUGUGACCCUGUGGGUUCGGAUACGUAUAGACAUGGCCCGAGUACUCCUACUCGGCCCACUAGUCGGUAGCGGCCUCUAGCAAGACGUGCCAACUCCUAUACGCACACGAAGAUCAUAUCAGACGAACCAUCACAACAUUAUAUACAUGUUAUUCCCUUUGCCUCACGAUAUUUGGUCUAGCUUCAAGCCGACCGCUCUUUCUCGAUCCUGUGAUUCGGAAUCCCUUUGUAGGUUAACUCUUAACCGUACGUAGCAUGGCCAUGCAUUUUCGGAUCCGAUCACUCGAGGGGCCCAGAGAUAUCACUCUCAAUCAGAGAGGGGCAAAUCCCAUCUUGAUUGACCAUGUCUCAUAGCAUGCUUCUUUACAAACCCGAAAGCUACCUUUAUAACUACCCUGUUACGGCGUAGCGUUUGAUAGCCCCUAAGUAGGUCGAUCCACAUCUUGAAUACAUGCGACAAUCAGGUCUAAGGACAAAGCGUAUAUGUUGUUUAAAGAGAGAACCACUUCUCGUGUUGGGUCAGUCCUAGCACAUGUCUCCACAUGUGUCCACAUUAUUAGUUCAACAUCUCCAUGUCCAUGACUUGUGAAACAUAGUCAUCAACUAAUACAUGUGCUAGUCUAAUAUUCAUAUGUGUCCUCACAUGAACUCCGACUAGGGACAACUUUAGAAUAACCAUACAAGUAAAGAGUUUCACAUACAAUUCACAUAAUUGCAAAUCAAUUCAAGUAGCCUUUAAUGGAUAUUCAAUGAACACAAUAUACAAAUCAUGGAUACAAAUGGAAUAUCAUCAUCUCUAUGAUUGCCUCUAGGGCAUACCUCCAACAGUCUCCCACUUGCACUAGAGUCAAUCUAGAAGGUACCUAAUACCCAUAGCUCUUACAUGCGCAUCAUGCUUAGCCUGCGGGAGUGGUUUUGUCAACGGAUCAGAAAUGUUCAGAUCUGUGUGUAUUUUGCAUGUCUUGAUCUCACCCCGGUUAACGAAGUCUCGAAUGAGAUGAAAUCGCCGCAUUACGUGUUUGUUCUUCUGGUGGUUCCUUGGCUCCUUUGCUUGCGCAAUUGCCCCAUUAUUAUCACAGUAGAGAUUCAAUGGGCUGGACACAUUCGGGAACACACCAAGCUCAAUGAGGAAAUUCCUUAUCCAAACACCUUCCUUCGCGGCUUCCGAAGCCGCGAUGUACUCGGCUUCUAUCGUAGAAUCGGCCACCGUCUCGUGUUUGGAACUCUUCCAACUAACAACACCACCAUUUAGCGUGAACACAAAUCCUGAUUGUGACUUUGAAUCAUCUCUGUCGAUUUGGAAACUAGCAUCAGUGUAACCUGUUACAACGAGCUCCUCCUCACCUCCAUAGACGAGGAACAUAUCUUUAGUCCUUCUCAAGUACUUAAGAAUGUUUUUCACCGUUGUCCAGUGACUCUCACCUAGAUCAUAUUGGUGUCUGCUUGUCAUACUUAGCGCAUUUGAAACAUCUGGGUGAGUACUUAUCAUUGCAUACAUGAUAGAUCCAAUAGCCGAGGCAUAUGGCACUCUACUCAUGCGAUCCCGCUCAUCAGCAGUCGAAGGACACUGAGUCUUGCUGAGAUGUAUGCCAUGUGACAUAGGCAAGAACCCUUUCUUUGCCUCUUCCAUGCUGAACCGCUUCAACACUUUGUCAAUGUAAGUAUCUUGGCUUAAUCCUAUAAGCCUUCUCGAUCUAUCUCUAUAGAUCUUAAUGCCCAGAAUAUAUGCCGCUUCCCCUAAGUCCUUCAUCGAAAAACUAUUUUUCAGUGAAGUCUUUACGAACUCAAGCAUAGGAAUGUUAUUUCCAAUCAGCAAUAUGUCAUCCAAAUAUAAGAUUAGAAAUACUACAGAGCUCGCACUAACCUUCUUGUAAAUACAAGAAUCUUCUUCGUUCUUGGUGAAGUCAAACCCUUUGACCACUUCAUCAAAAUGAAUGUUCCAACUCCUAGAUGCUUGCUUCAAUCCAUAAAUGGAUCUUUGAAGCUUGCAUACCUUUCCAGCAUUUUUCGAAUCGACAAAACCCUCAGGCUGUAUCAUAUACACGUCCUCAGCUAGGUUUCCAUUCAGGAAAGCUGUCUUGACAUCCAUCUGUCAUAUCUCAUAAUCGAAAUAUGCAGCUAUAGCUAGAAUAAUCCGAAUGGACUUAAGCAUCACUACGGGCGAGAAAGUCUCAUCGUAGUCAACUCCUUGAACUUGUCGAAAACCUUUUGCGACAAGUCGUGCUUUAUAGAUGUGAACAUUUCCAUCCAUGUCCUUUUUCUUCUUAUAGAUCCACUUGCACUCUAUGGCUUUAACACCAUCAGGCGGGUCAACCAAGUUCCAAACUUGAUUGUCUCCCAUGGACUCUAUUUCGGAUUGCAUGGCACUCUGCCAUUUUUUGGAGUCUGGGUACAUCAUUGCUUUUGCAUAUGUCGCAGGCUCAUCAUUGUCCAACAAUAAUAUUUCCCGCAUUUCGCGGAGCCUUGCCGACCUUCGUGGUUGUGGCGGUGCUUCUCUUACCAUGGGUAUCUCAACUUGUUCUGCUACGUUAGCAUCACUCAUUGAUUCUUGCCCAAUCGGCUCAUCUUGAACCUCUUCAAGAUGCACUGUCUUUCCACUCUUUUCUCCUUUGAGAAAUUCUUUCUCUAGGAAAACCCCGUUCCGAGCGACAAACACUUUGCCCUCUAACGGUUGUAGAAAUAAUAUCCCAAAGUUUCCUUUGGAUAUCCCACGAAAAUGCACUUAUCCAACUUAGGUGUGAUCUUGUCUGACUGAAGUCACUUGACAAACACUUCACAUCCCCAAAUCUUUAGAAAAGACAAACUGGGAACUUUUCCAGUCCACAUCUCAUAUGGUGUCUUAACUACGGAUUUAGAUGGUACCCUAUUAAGUGUGAAAGUUGCUGUUUCUAGAGCGUAUCCCCAAAAUGACAAUAGUAGGUCCGACUGGCUCAUCAUUGAUCGAACCAUGUCUAAAAAAGUUCAAUUACAUCGCUCGGAUACACCGUUUCUCUGAGGUGUUCCAGGCGGCAUAAGUUGUGGAACAAUUCCGCAACUCUUUAGAUGAUUGCUAAACUCGUGGCUCAAAUACUCGCCUCCACGAUCAGAUCGUAAGGCCUUAAUUUUCUUGCCACGCUGAUUUUCAACUUCAUUCUGAAAUUUCUUUAACUUUUCAAAGGUUUCAGACUUGUGCCUCAUCAAGUAGACAUAGCCAUAUCUACUAAAAUCAUCAGUGAAAGUUAUGAAGUAUUGGAAUCCUCCUCUAGCCGUCGUGCUCAUUGGUCCGCAUACAUCACUAUGUACGAGUUCCAACAAGUCUAUUGCUCUCUCAGGAAAUCCUGUGAAAGGCGUCUUGGUCAUCUUGCCUAGCAAGCAAGCCUCACAUAUAUCGUAUGAUUCAAAAUCAAACGAUUAGAAGUCCAUCAGAAUGGAGCUUCUUCAUGCACUUUUCACUUAUAUGACCCAAACAACAAUGCCACAAGUAGGUAGGACUCAAAUCAUUAGGCCGAGGCCUUUUAGCACUUACGUUACAAACAGGUGAACCAUCAUGAUUUAAAACAAAUAAUCCAUUCACAAUGGGUGCAAAAGCCAUAAACAUAUCAUUCUUAGAGAUCACACAACCAUUGUUUUCACUCGCAAAUGAAUAACCAUCCUUCAUCAAGCAUGAAGGAGACAAAAUGUUUCGACUUAAACUAGGAACGAAAUAACAAUUAUUCAACUCCAUAGCUAGGCGGAAGAGAUGAAAGAAUGAAGUUAGUGGCCAACUCUUUGCCCAUUGGGAAGCCCAGCUUCUCCAAUCGCUGAGUGUAACCAACCAUCUUGAUUACAUGUGGUCCUACUGCUGCGCCUUCUGCUACCUUGCACUCCAGAAAGGCUUUGGACACAUUGAACCUUUCAGUCCUAGCCUGUGUCUGGAACAUGUCCUUGAGCACCAUGAUCAUAUCAUGUGCCUCAUGAUUUGUUUCGAACUGCAUCUGCAGCUCGGGUUCCAUGCAAGCAAGCAUAAGGCAGCUUACCUCAAGAUUAGCAUCAAAUGCCUUCUUGUAAGCAGCCUUAACAGCAGCAAAUGCAUCAUCAGCAGGUACUGGUGGUAGUGGGGUGUCUAGAACAUCUUCCUUUUUAUCGGCCCUGAGAACAAUUCUCAGGUUACGGAUUCGAUCCGACUAGUUUGUUCCAUUCAACUUGUCCUUCUCAAGGACCGGCACUUCGUCAUGAAAGAGGUUAGAUGCUAUGGAAAAGAGAACACGGUCAUGAUGUCCGUAUCCACUCUUUCUCGUAGAAUCGAACCUCCUUCUUGACAUACGUUGCUGCUCGGCGGAGAACAUCCUCUGCGAGAUGACCACGGUAUGCAAGUUCAACAAGUAUGGAUUUGAAAAACCUUAUUGAAUUUGAUAAGUUCAACAAGUAGCAGAAGUUAUCUAUGUACAAAAAUUCUUUCCUUACCACUGUAGAAGUUGUUGAACUUGAAGACUGUGAUCAUCUCGCGAGCAUGUUCUCAACUGGGCGGCACCGCACUUCGUCAUGAAAGAGGUUAGAUGCUACGGAAAAGGGGACACGGUGACGAUGUCCGUAUCCACUCUUUCUCGUAGAAUCGAACCUCCUUCUUGACAUACGUUGCUGCUCGGCGGAGAACAUCAUCGCAGAGAUGAACACGGUAUGCAAGUUCAACAAGUAUGGAUUUGAAAAACCAUAUUGAAUUUGAUAAGAUAAACCGUCUAGAUAAGGUAGCAUCAUUCUUAAACCACUGCAAGAAUGCAUACUAUAUAUGACACAUCAAUCUCCCUCACAUUCUAGCUCAAAAUACCUCUCCAUUUUCUACUUCAUCACAUUCUAGCAAAUAAUCUUUCCAUCUCCAAAGCAUAAAUCAAAGCAUAACACGAGGAUGAAGUAGCAAAACCUUCACAACACUUGUGUCGGCUGAGUGAAAUUCCCACGAAAAUGAGAGAAAAAACUUCGGGCAGCACCUCCCUUGCUUCGGCACCACCGGAGAGUAGGUGAAGCUCAGCUCUCUCUAUCAAUGUGCUGGACUAGCUCGGGCUAGAGGAGGAAGAAAGUCCUCUGUCUUGGUAUAUAAUGGGGAUGAGUUUUUAUCCCGGUUAAAAACUCCAACUGAGACAAAAAGGAACACCUUUUGUCCCGGUUGAAGGUUUAGUCCCGAUUGGAAGCUCCAACCGGGACAAAAGGGACACCCUUUUAUCCCGGUUGGAAGCUCCAACCGGGACUAAACUUUUUGUGGUUCCAACCGAACCGGGAUAAAAUGGUGCCUCCACCGACAGCCCGCGACUAGCCAUUGCAACCGGGACUAAAGGGGGGCCUUUAGUCCCAGUUGCAAUUACCAACCGGGACUAACUCUCCCCUCCAUUUUUGCCUACCGUGGCGUACCCCCUUUUGUCCCGGACCAACUUUAAACCGGGAUAAAAGGGGGCGCAUCGAAAGCCAAUUCUCUACUAGUGUAUCAUACCCUGGUAUUGCCUUCUACUAGCUACAUCCGAGUUUUGUAGCAUGCACGAACCUUUCUGUUACAAAAAUUCAAGUAUAUUUUUAGGUGUUUAGCUAUCUUGAUGAAGUUCAACACCCACUUUUUUUGGUUAUACCAAAUCAAUUUAAAAAUUACAGAGAAAAAACACUGAAACUCUAAUGUUAAAUGUAAAUCCAGAAUGAAUUGAGGUCAUUAAUUAACACCUGAAUUUUGUUUCCUUUCCUCUGUAUGCUAAUUAAGAGGAAAGUUGAAAGAAAAGAAGAUGAAAAAAAAAUCAGGUGGCGCUUCAAUUAACGCUGUAUUUCUUUUUUUGAGUAAAACUGUGGGGAAGAGUUCCCCACAGUGCGCUUCAAUGUUACAUAUUAAACAACAGACUGUAAAAGAUUACAAGAUACUUAUAUAAAUUAGAGGGAAGAGAAAGAGAGUACAAAAUCGACACUUGCAAAUGAUAAACGUCUAAGGGGUACCCUAACUCUUGCUUUGAACAGUGGACCCAACUCUUUGCAUUGAACACACGACCUGAGAAAAUCUGCUUAACUCCUGUUCGGGUUAUCACCCUGGUACGGUUCGCACGACGUGCCAAUCAAUCUGACCUGUUGAUUGAUAAGGAAGGACAGAUGUCAGAUUUCAAAGAUUCGAUCAGCUGGAGUUCUGAUCUACUCUAAAAAACGUAUCAGCGGAUUUGCCAAUGUAAUGUAAGGAUGACCGGCUAUGAAGCAGCCGAUAAUCACGUAGCAAAUGUAAAGGGGACUGCUGGAGUAACCUAAACAAUGCUACAGAGACAACACCUGAAAUAGAUCUAAUCGGCUGUAUGAUAAUAAGUAAUGUAUUGAUAUAGCCGAUAGUUCAUGCCUCAAGCUAGAUAACUGGUGAUAAAAACUAAAAUAACACGCAAAACCUAUAAUUCUAGCAAAUAUCGAUUAGUGGUGAAUAAAUCUAAACGAGACGACAGCGAUACACCCGAAGUCAAAGUUUACACAUUACUCGAAACGCGGAACUUACAAAUUGACCGAAGAUCAAGUUGAUGCAGCCCUGCCAACUCGCACGAACUCGUGAAAAGAAAAAGAGUUUGGUGAAGUCGCCAACUUGAAAGUAAAGUUACGUGAAAAAGUAGAUUUGUAUUGAUAUUAUUUGAUGAUCUUUUCCAGCCUCACGAGACACCUGUUUAUACCCUGUUACAACUCGUUUCCUAAUCGACUACGACUCAAUGUUCUAUUUCUAUUUAAAGUAACAAAUAUUUACACAUAGAUACAACUCAUACUGGAGUCGGACACCAUCCAAGCCUCUACGGGCCAAUCUUCACCUCACUACCACCUCGGCCCAUUUAGGCUAAUAUCAACGCGUCGGUCGAGCUGUUCUGGCUUCCAAUCGGCCAAACUCCAUCGAUCUCAUUGGCUAAUUGGCCGAACCACUGUAGCUUUACCGACCGAUUUCUCUAGCCAUGGCUUCUUGUUUAGUCGCAUCAGCCGCUUUCUUUUCCUUUUGAUGCUGACGCUAACACGUGUCAAAAACCGACCUCAACAGUUUGCUUAUUUUAUUAGGCGCCUCUAUCAUUCCUUGGUAUUUUCUAUGCUUCUGAUUGGCAUCUGUUGAUCAGUACUGCACUUUCGUCUAUGGUCUGUGUGACAACUCUGGCUGAGGAAUUCGUUAUGUAUAUUAGAAAGAAAGCUAUGAAGCCGCGAAUAGUGUUUUCCUUUGUAGUUAAGCAUAGGCUCAUAGCAACUGUGAUCACUAUAGGCCAGAUUUUGUUUUCUUCAUAAAGAUUCAUGUAAUCAGGUUAAUGAUCUCCGGAGAUUAUUCUUAAUUUCAUAGCAUAUUUGCAGUUGAUGUAACUAUCAAUAACAAAUAAAGUUGCCAAGAUGGCAUUUCCUCAAGAAAGCGAUAACGUAGAUAACAUAACAAAUAUAGAAAGAGAUAAAGUUACCAUUCCCCUUUUCUGCCCGGCACAAGGCUAACAAGGACUUCCUAUCAUUCAAUCAUGGAAGCCUCCUCCUCCUGAAAACUUCUACAAGAUCAAUACUGAUGGUGCAUAUGAUCAAAAUACUAGAACUGGAGGUUGGGGUUUUGUUGCGAGGGACAGAAAAGGUGAGGUGUUGCUGGCAGGGCUGGUAAAAUUAUGCGAGCUGCAUCAGCUAUACAGACUGAAGCAGUAGCAGCAUUCAUGGCUAUUCAGCAGGCUGCUCAACUUGGAAUGACACAUAUCAUGUUGGAGAUGGAUGCUUCUGUCCCUGGCAUCAGCUCUUUGCUCCAUAGGAAUUGAUAGGAGUGCCAUUGGAUGCUUAGGACGUCAGAUCCAUGACCUUAUGCAAACAGAGUUUUCAUCUUGUAUUGUCUCGCUUUGUAAUAGAUCCUGUAAUAAAGUAGCUGAUUGUUUAGCAACCUAUGGAGCAGGCAUGUUGGCCUCUGACUCUGCUCUGUGUUGGAGUCAAGCCCCAGAGUUUGUAAGAGAACUUGUUUUAGGCGAUUUGCCUAGAGGUGAUGUUUAAUGCAGUUGUGCUUUUCAAAAAAAAAAAAAAACAGGGACUUUAGUAUCGGGUACGCACACAGAAAUCUACUCAAAGCAGCCCAUAUAUAUGGGCUUUAGCAGAACGCAGCAACACAUAUCGAAAAGAAGGUGGGCACAUGAGCCACGAGGAGCAUUUACGCACAAAUAUAUGGGUUGCUUUCUUCCGAGCUGACAGUCACUGUACCUUCCGUUUGACCCAUGCUGUACUCAUGGAUACGGUAUAGUCCCUCUUGUACAUGACAACUCAAACGUUAUGAUCACUACCCUACUGAGUCGUAUACCUGGCAAAACUCUGGUUUGGCAAAAAAAAAACAAAAAAACUGAUUAUGUUUGGAUCUAAAACGGCUUGAUGAUUUGGUGUUGUUCGCUCAUUCAUUGUCCUGAUCGGCCGAAAUCAAAUUUCUCUAGUUUUGAUCAGAUUUAUAGAAAAAUAUACAAAUAUUUACGAUAUAAAACUAGUUUCGUGGUAUUGCAGAUGUUAAUAUACCAUUAUAUAAAGUUGCUCAAAUUUUGAAAAAUUUACCUAAGGAUAAUAUUAAAAUAUUAAAAUGACCAAUAAUUUAGAACCGGGAAAUAGCUAGGAGAUGUAACUCUUGCAUUGGUUGCCGUGCAAAAUCAUGAAAGGAGCUCUCCACGAACAAAGCAGCAAAACACACCUUUUUUUUUGAACGAAUGGGCACGAGACGGUGCCUAUUUCAUUGAUAGAGUAGGUUAUUACAGUAGUGUUUCAUAUUAUGGUACGCUUACAUGAUUACUCUCUAGAUAAAAAGGUCGCUAAAGCUUUUGCCCCUGCUAAGAUCCAUGUGACUGCUUCCUCCUUUACUUUGGCGAGCAGAGAGGUUGUUGCCAUCUCUUGAUGGUUGAAAAUUCGCCUAUUUCGCUCCUUCCAGAUUUCCCAUAUUAGCAGCAGCGUCACAGAACAUGUGCCCUUUCUAGGCGCUUCGGUCCUUGUAGUCAUAUUCAUCCACCAUUCCAGAGCGGUUUCGGUUGGGGGCCAUUCCGAGGGUUGUAUGCUUGGUUGAGAUGUCCAGAUGGCCACGAGGCUCCAUAUUCGCUUGGUGUAUCUACAUUGAGCCACUAGAUGAUGCGCUGUUUCUUGUUGUAUACAGCAUAAGGGGCAUGUAGGGGAGUGAGGCCAUCCUCAUCGCGCAAGUCGAUUAGCCGUCCAUAUACGAUUUUGGAGAAUCAGCCAUGCGAAGAACUUGCAUUUCGGUGGCGCCCAGCAGUGCCAUAUUGUUUUGUAGUGUGGCGCAUAAGUGGAUCCCAGGAACUGCGCUUUGUAUGCUGAUGCCGCUGAGUAUUUUCCGUUAGAUGUCAAUUUCCAUUGAAUUGUGUCUUCCUGUUGCGUUUGCAUUUGUGGCCUCACCAGUGCUGCUAGACUCCAUAGUGCUACAAAUUCUUGGAGGUGUUGUAUUGUCAGUCCUUCAUGGAAGUUUAUGUCCGUCACCCAGCUAUUGUUGUAUAAAGCUUCUGCUAGUUUUUUAUGCUUUCCCCUGGAUAGCAUAUAUAUGUUGGGCGCAAUGUCCUUUGGUCGAGUUCCUUGCCCCCAGGUGGAAUGCCAGAAGCUCGUUUUGUGUCCAUUCGUUGUGCAAGCCGCGAAUAAUCGUUGAUCGGAUUCGUCACAUGGUAUCUCCGUUCCAAUCCAUGUUUUCUGCGGUGAUUCCCACUCGUGCCAUAUCCAGCGCAGUCUCAAUGCUCUAGCGAAUUUGUGUAGGUUUAGUACUCCUAACCCCCCAUUUUCUUUUGGUAAGUAGGAUUUAAUCCAAUUAACCUUGCAUUUGCCGCCUGUAAGCGUUGUGUCUCCUGCCCAGAUGAAUCGUUUUCUUAUUUUGUCUAGUUCGUCUAAAACUUCAUUUGGUGCUUUUAGGACGGUUAGUAGAUAUAGUGGCUGCGCUAGCAGCAAAACACACCUGGAACAUAAGCAAGCUAAGGUGCACUCCUGACAGUUUCUAGCCAUCCAGGGAACGAAGGCUGCUUUCCGGUAGUGAGUUUAUACCCGAAUGCACAUCGACGUGCGCACCUUCUUUACUUUCCUUUUUUUUUUUGUUUCACUGCAUCUUCUUCAGUUGUCUUCCAUGUGCCUUAGCAGCUAAGCGUCGGAUUUUAGUUGCAAACGGUUGAGACUACAGUGUUACACAGGACACAAGGAUAGCUGCGUGGCGUAAAAAAACGCGUUCAAUCUCAUCGAGUAUGGACCCCCUUUAGUCCCGAUUGCAAAUAACAAUCGAGAGUAAAUUCUAGCGCACCCCCUUUUCUCCCGGGCCGAAAUUAAAUCGAGACUAAAGGGGGUGGGAUCUAAAGUCAGUUCUCUUAUAGUGAACUUACAAAUUACAAUGUGAAGCACUGAAACAAGUUUGAUAGAAGUAAUUAAGAAAAUAUAAGGAAACGAGAUUGAAGAGAUUACAUAAGUUAUUGAACUCUAUAUAAAAGUAGCCUUCUUGAUAGAGGUCCUGAUGUUCCAAGUUACAGUAAUAUUGUCGUAGAAACGAUGUUGGUACUUGUGAAGUGAGCGUAGCUUAGCUGGUAAGGUUUUUUUUAUGGUGGAACCUAUCCACCAGGGUUCGAGUCCUCGACUUGGUACUGGUACUCACAUUUUCCUAGAUUAAUAUUAGGAUUUAACCGGCGCUAUUCUUUUAGUGGUAGGCGACGUUCCCGUCGAUAGCGAGGUGCCAGUGGUGACUUCGUCAAUCUCAAGGAUUUACCGGCUCAGUCUUUUGAAGGUGCUCAUAGGGGUAGGAUUGCAUGCGUGUGUUCGUAAGGGCGAGUGUGCGUACGUGUAUGUGAGGACCUAUGUCUAUACUAUGUUGGUACUUCAAAGCAUCUGCGUAGAUGCUAAACUUGAGCACUUGGUGGACGCGUGGCGUGAUGAUCGGUGCUGCUCCUUUGCUACUAGUGGCGCCCUUCGUUUCAUCGUCCGAACUAGAGGGUUGUGUCGAUUUCGUCUUCUCCAUUACAAAUAUGAAAUGAGCUGCUUAUUGUGGCUGUGUGCCAUGCAUGUGAGCAGAUGAAGAUAACGGACCUCUGGUAACCUGCCGAGAAUUAUCAGGUUCGUCCAUGGCGUCAAGAGUCAAUGACAAGUGGGAGAGAUUAGGAAGACGCGUAGGAUUGAUGCAUGUGGCACCUCAGAGAACCUAACAUCAACAAGUCCUAGCUGACCGCUGAUAGGAGCCUGACACUCGUGAUAAACAAAAAGAAAAGGAUUGAUCGAUGGAUGUUUGCUUGUAAUGCAGUAUCUGCGUGCUUCUAGGCUGAAUGUACAGCCGGGGGAAAAGAAGAGGCAGCCCAUGAAAGGUGGCUGACGAAAAAUCUGCCCCAAAUUUCACUCGCUGGUACUUCAGUUCCGGGGCUGAUGAACAGAGACGAUGAAGCUAAUUCUACGACACGCAUGAGGUAUGUUUGUUUAAGCUGCAGCUUUUGAGCUUUUCUGAAAAGUUGCUGCUGAUUUUUUCUUCUGAAAAAGCAACACUAGUGUUUAUAAGAUGUGUUUACCUUUUUGUCCAAACAGUUACGAAAAUCUCAUAAAAAUGACAUUUUCAGCUAUCCAGCUAUCCAUGUAAACUCAGUUUUUCCAAGCUUCCUACUUUCCGGAAGGCUGUUUAUUUGAACUUCUGAUUUUUCAUGCUGAGAAGCUAUCAGAAAGCUCAAACAAACAGGACCUGAAUAUCCCAUAAUUAUCUGUGAACAAGUAGUCUUAGAGUCAUGUAGUACAUGUGACCAUCUAACCUGAAGACGACAGGAUCUAUCCGACACUGCAACCAGCAACUCGCCGGCCGGUCUGCUCCGCGCCCCUUCUAGAAAUGGAGUAGUAGGCUCCGUUCUGGUAAUUGUUUGCGUUGGUUUUUUAGCUUUUAUUUCUUCAAUAGAAGGCACGUAUGUCUCUGUAAUUAUUACAAAUUAUAAAUCAUUUUAGUUAUUCCUUUCUUUUUUUUAAUGGCUAACUGUUGUUUUAAUUUUUGUAGUAUGCAGGCGUGUAGUUUGCGCCAAAAAGAGAAGAGGCGGCUGAACGAUGGGUGUGGUAACCAUGAGCGUAGAUCGUACGUGAUGGGUGGUUAAACGCGUGCGCGAUGAUACACGUGGUUGUUAGUCCUUCAGAAAGGAGAAGGUAAAAAGCAAUCCCGCAGGAGAUUGUUUAGUGCGCGCCAAUAAUUGUGCCGUCGAGCAGCGUAAUAUUUGCCGUCCCCAUCACCUACUCCUUGGAGUUUUACGAUGUUAUCAUUCACGCUGCACAAAGGCAGCUGCACUUUUAUAUCAUAAGCAAGCUCCACUCCACCACGCCCUCGCCUAUAUAAGCACCUCACCACCACGCCCGACAUCAUCGAAAGCAAAACAGCGAAGAUGUCGGGCGUGUGGGUGUUCAAGAACGGGGUGCUGAGGAGUCUCCCGCCGGAGGAGCCUGGUGUGGCAGCGGGCCCGAGCAACAAGAAGGCGCUGGUGUACGCGCCAGCGAGCGAGACGGUGCAUGGCGUCGCACGAGGCCCUAAAGCGCUAGCGGCGGCUGCUGGAGCUCGGCUGGGAGCGCUGCGGCGACGAUCCGGGCGACACCUCCCUCCUGCUGUUCCGCCGCGGUGACAGCGCUGAGCUCAUCUCGCUGCCCGCUGACUUCGCCAGCGUCGGCGCUGACCACAUGCACAACAUCGUCGUCAAGAACCCGGAGCAAAUUGACUCAAGGUCGUCGACCACAUAUGCAUGCACUUCAAGGUCGUCGACGCCACCGGCGGUCCGGCAAAUUGACUCGUAGCGUGGGUGUGUGUCCAAGUGCUCGUAUCGCACAUGGCCGUGAAGUGUGUGAUCACUGAAUUUCUGCGUGUGUUCAAGUCAGUAUGUUAUUGUUCCAUCUGUGGGUAUGUACUCCUCUUCGUUUGUCCCAAGUAUUUGACGACAUGUUCUUUGGUCACUGCGCGCGUCAUAGAAAUGUGGCCAAUAUAUAGCCCAUCGCUCGCAUUCUGCAAUAUGUGUAGACACAGACAGGGCGCCACACCUCUCUAAUCAACAAAACUAAUACUACCUUACAGUUUGAUGCCAAGCAUAUUUCUCAGGCCCAGACCUGCUUCUUGUCAUCUUUUCAUCGGUUGCAUUGAGCUCUGCUAGCUUUCUUCUGAGAUAAGAAGAGCAGAUAGGAGGAGUGGCAUUCUUCCCAGGGCUGCUAUGAUAUCUCUCACGCUCUCACAGUGUCAACGACGUGUAAAAACAAAUUGAUUUUCUAUAAUUCUGAACUCUCCUAGUGGUUUCUCAUAUGUUUAGAAACGCACGACGCCGGAAAAAAAUAAGGUACACGAUUAUUCCAGCGUGUGUGAAAAAAUACGACACAAAUAAAGAUUACAACAGCCUGGAAUAGCAAACUCUAUCCUAUCCAGCCAAAGUAUCGCACAUGUUACAAAAGGUUGGUUAACAACCAUGAUUUAAUUUACACGCUAUUCUGUUAACAUACUAUGGGUCCAUUACAAGGGCCUGUGUAACACCUCUAGUGUUUAGACAUUUUAUUAGUGUUAUUCAUCUACAGGGCUCGAGUAAUUAGCAUCUUUUUUGAGUGCAAAAUUGUGCUUAAUGAAGUUGGUUAAUGCUUUCACUCGUGUGGUGUUGGUACGUGAAUUGAAAGCUAAGUGCAACAAGGGCUUGAGCUGUUUUGCAAGUGAAAAAACAAAUAAAAAGUCACGUCUGAAUCAAUUCAUGUUUAAAUACUUGAAGUGGUGCACUUUUGCAUGUGUUUAAGUACUUGAAGUCGUGCACUUCGCGCCGUCCUCGCCCACUGCUCCGCAGAGCACGGACGGCGACCCCGCGGCCCGAUCUCCUCCCCUGGUCGCCGGCCUCCUCUCUCUCUCUCCCAUUUUGUUCGUUCUUCUUCUUCUUUCGGUAGAGCAAGCAGGGGAGAGCCGAGCUCAACCACCAUCCGCCUGCCGGCCAAAUCCUCCCCACCCCCUCCACCAAAAUCAAAUCACCUCCACCCACAGCUUCCUCACUUCCCCAGCUCCACCCUCAUCCGCUCAUUACCGCUGUCUAUGGUUCCUGCGGUCGGGGAUUGAGGUUUCCCCGCCCGCCAUGUGCCGCGAGCCACCACCGGCCACCCACACAUCGUCACGUCGACAACCACCCUCCAUCCUUCCUCGUGCUAAAAAAACUACACAAAAAGAACCAUGGUGAGGUCCUGGUGCUCGUGCUCUCGCUCUUGUGCCAUAUUAGACAACUUUCCGCGCUCGAUUUUGUGCUCGCCGCCGGCCGUGCGCCGCUACUCGCACGGGUAGGUCUAGGGUUGGUUUUCGUGGAGAUAGGAGAGGGAGGAGGUGCGCUUAGGUGUAGGGAAUCAUAUGGGGUAGUCAAAGAGGUGGGAGGGGAAGCCCCCGCGUCGGCGUAGCCGCGCCGCCGCCCCUCGCCGUGGCCGCACGGGUGAGCCAGAGGAAAAAGAUGGAGGGAGGAGCAUGGUUGUGAGGAGAAAAGAACUGCAGGGGGUUAUGCUCAAAACUUUGGGUUUAUAUGUUAGGUGGGUUUUGUUUCAGGGGGCUAUGCAAAAGAUCAGGGGGCUAGUUAAGAAGGAAGGGUAGAUCUGUUAAGGAAAGAUGUUUCCAGGAACCUUAACGUAAACCUGGUUUUGUUUACUUAUCUUUUAAACCGGCUGAAAAUAUAGAAAUGUGUAUAAAAUCGUAUAAAAAUGAUAAAAAUAAAAACUAAAUUUUGUUGGUUCUCUGGUAAAGUCUAGUUUCACCCACGAAUGAGUGUGUGCAUGUAUCUGUUGUAUUUUUAGUUCUAUAAAUUAUCUUGUGCUAUACUUGUUAAAUGCUUAGUAAAUUAUAGGUUUCUCCAAAAAUUGUGAAACUAAUUUUGUUAGCUUCCUUGAGUCAUGUAGGUUUCAGAUCUGUAACUUAUAUAUGUGAUAUUUGUGGUUGUCGUUCUGUUUUGGAGCUAUCUUUUGUUUGCUAUAUGAAUCUUGCUAAUUGCAUAAUAAUUUGUAGAAAAAUGAUAAAAUUAUGAAACCACUUUAGUUGAGAUUGUUAUGAUCUUCAUCACGUAUGAAGAAUGUUAGAUCCAGUGAUAGCUAUUCUACACUUAGUAAAAUUCAGAACAUAAAUAAAAUAGUUUAUUGUACACAAAUAAUUGUGUUUACCAAAAAAUCAUAAUAAAUUUCUGUAAAAUAUUUUGUCAAUGGUUUUAUCAGUUUAUUACUUGUUCAUCACCAGGUUGUAUCUACAAUUUAGUUUAAUGAAUUUCCUUAUUCCUAGCUAUAUUAAUCUCAAUAAAAAUAAAACAUGUUAGAAGUGUUUUAAGAUAUUUUAAUUCCUGUAAUGGUUACUUUGCAACUUGUAAAUGUUAGCAACUCAUUUUUAUCUCUGAGAGUGAUUAUAAGAAUGAUCAUCUCUAUUUAAUUCAUUUUGAAACAUAAUGGACCACUAGUUAGUAUUUUUUUUCUUUAUGAAAAUGGUAGUAUAUUUUUGUGUUACAUUACAUAAGUUGUUUUGUGAAGUACUUCGGAGCAAAGUAAAGUUAAUAUCUGAACCUCAUCAUAGUAGUAUCCCAGCGGUUCCUUGCAUAGUUUGUUAAUCAUUAUGCGCGAUAAAUAACUGCUCUUUGUUAUAUGUGAGUAUGUGCAUCUUUUAAUCUUGCAUCGCAUGUGCAUUCAUCUAGAAAACGCAGCUAGCGACGUGGUAUACGAGUAGGAGGAGCAGGAAGCACCAGAGCUGUAGGGGACACUAAAGGAGCAGCAAGACCCGGCCCAAGGUCCGGAAGAGUAGAUCGCUGAGCAGCAAGAAGGCAAGCCCCAGAGCAUGACCCUAUUUUAAUUUAUGCAAUUAAUGUUUAAUUAUGUAUUGUGCAUUUACGUUUCUAGGAGUUGGAUGAAACCAUAGAUGCAUGAUCCAUAGGUUGCCAUGGUUAUACUAGUAUGUGUAGGCCGUUAGCUCUGCUAUGCUUAAUUAAGUUCGGUAGAAGUCGAGUAAUUGCCUGUCACUCGCGAGAUAUAGGGCACAUAGUACUUAUGUUUAAUUGUGGAAAAUGGCUCAAAUGGUAAAAUCGAGACCAGGCGAAGAUGAGUUUUGGUUGAAGAUAUGAGGUAUGGAUUGAAUGUGUAGAUCCACCUGUGUCAAUUAAGGCCUGUUCAUUGUGGCACAGUUGAUCAAGUUUGAACAGUACUAAUCACAUGCUAGGAGUAGGAGGUAGUUGAAACUGGCAAACGUAGUACUUGAUUUGCUCCAGAGUUUGAACUCCUACCCGCCCUCUAGGGCAAGUCGAGUGGCCGAGGAGAAUUGGGUAUGUAUUCUUUUUUUGUGGUCUCUCGUAGGGCUCGGCUGAGUAGUGCUGGCGGGGUAGUUCAGACUUUCGAUGGUGGAGAUGGGAACGGUUGCCACAUGUGGCUCGACGGGGCAUGCAUAUGUCAUGUGGUUAGGUUUUUCGCUGCAUCUCUCGAAUAAGAGAACCUUGAUCUCUCUGUCUCAUCAUUAUAAAGAAUUGAAAAGGGAAUGAUGAUAAAUUGUUGUUUGCUUAAUCAAUUAUUUUUCCACACUGAAUGGUUGUUUUUAUGCAAACAUAGAAAAUAGUUACUCUCACUUUAACUUGGCUAAAACAUUGAAAGUAAGGAUCCACCCUUAGUAGCUUUUUGGCAAAACAAACUCCUGAGCCAAAAUCCUUGCAUGCUAGGAGUUGGCUAAGUAUAUACCACUAGUCGAGUAAGCCUUGCUGAGUACUAGUUGCUCAAGGUUUGUUGCUCAAUUUAUUUCAAGUCCUGAUGAUAUAGAUUUCUAUCCUUGUUGCGCUAAGCUUAUUCGCCGUGAUGCCGAUGGUUGGGAAGUCGCUGGACCGGAUGCUUAGUCACUUGUUGACCUCAGAUUGCACACUUGUGGGCUGAAGUGUGUGAUCUACCAUUCACGCUUCGUCGUAUCGUAGUUUCGGUUUUUAAAUAAUGGCAAAAUUGUGUUAAUUCCAGUUGAACUCUAUAGCUAUUUAUGUAUUCGAACUCGGCUUGUAAAACUUAGUGUACCACAUUCUGGUUUGUAAUUGUAUGUGUAUGAACUUCGUCAUGUAUGUACUAUCUGUGCUCACCUUCACAUGAGACUUCUGGUGUUUGUUUCGAUUGACAUAUUUGUAAAUGCGUGCUAUCAAAUUAAACCAUUAAGUUAAUGUGCCUGAUGUGUUCAAAUGAUGGCCAUUAUGCUUAAUUAGAGUUUUAAUUUGGCGGUUCUACCACAACAUGUUUGGUAGAGCUUCAUUUGAUUCUGAUUCUCUAUGGGAGUUGAUCUAAGAGAGAAGUGAUUCUAUUGUUGAAACUGAUUCUCUUUAAUUCUAUAGCAUAAACUCUUAAAAUUAGGAUGGAGAAUCACUUCACAGAAUCUGGAGAAGCUACUUUUUUCAGCUCCCAGGCUCUUAGUUUAUUUUAGAGAAUCACUUUACAGAAUCAGUAGAGAAUCACUUAUCUCUGAAAAACUGUUUGGCAGAGCUCUUACUAGAUUCAGUAGAGAAUAAGCUCUGGAAGCUUUGGCAUACGGGGCCUAAGGGGUAUAAGUGGUUAACUCUGAGUGAGACUGUAUCUCAAACUUUCACUCUAAUAGUAUAGGUAGAUAUGUCGUGUUUUCACCUUCCUUGCCUUACCUUGGUUGGCUCAAAUGCUCAAACAAUGAUCUCUGAAAAAUAAAGAGGGCAGGAACAAACGAAGCAAAGUCAGAGAUAAAGAUCGGUGUUAGGGUUCAUGGCUUUGGGUUUGUCGUGGUCUCCUGCUACUGCUAUAAAGAAGUAGCUAGGGAGGUCAUGGGACCAGCGAUGGAGACAGUCACGGCGGCUGUACAUCCAUGCCUGUUCACGUGUUGGUGGCAGAGGGUAGUGGCGUGCCUCCGUAGCCAUCGGUGAAUGGAGGGGGACACGCUGGAGAGGGAGAAAACCGGUCAUGUUAGUGGAGCAAAGAAAACCGGUCGUACCUCCGUACCUUAUUCGUGUUACGAAUAAGGUAAUGAGGAAAGUGUGCGUCUUGGGGGGUAAACGCGUGCACAGACAUGCGGUAGUAUAGUCCUUAAUCAAAGCUAAGGUAAAAAUCAAGUCAAAAGCAAUAGGUUGUUUAGUGCACAAGCAACUUGUGCCAUUGGGGUCGGGCAGUAGAAUAUUUAACUUGCACUCUCCCAUCACCUAUAAUCAUUGGAGUUUUACUAGGUUAUUAUUGACGCUGCGGCAGUCAAGCCGGCAGUCAGGAACGCUCCUAGCAAUAUAACCACCACGUACGCCUGGAUCAACACCACAAACAAGCGCCCUGCUCAGCACACUGCACGCUACAACAACGCUCAGAGCAAUGUCGGGCGUGUUUCUAUUUAGGAACGGGGUAUCGACCUUUAAUUCACCUAUAGAGCUAUCUUUAGGAAUUCUAUCUAUCCUCGCCACCUAUCUUGGUAUAUCCUUGGACCGACUAAACUAGGAGUUAGUACACACACAUUCCCUUGGAUUCGAUACCCUUGGAAUACUCUAAGCUGAAAGCUACAACGGUAUCCGUGCUCUUGCGGAUUUAUUCGCAUUCGUUAAUUAUACCAACAGAGCUCCACCAAGAAUAUGCUCUCGGUUACCAAGUCUCUCUCGAUAAAUGUCUUGGUCUCGCCACAAAGGCUCUCACCAAGCUGGAUGAGAUGAAUGCCAUGAAGGCAAGGCCAACCACUCCCUCUAUUCGGUCAUCUUGACAUCGUCUCUACUAUGGAGCUUCUCCACAAAGGAAGGGGUCUCCUCGUCCCCCCGUACACAGUCAUUGUCACCGCUCCACGUAAAGCUGGAGAGUCGAAGACUUCUUGGCGAGCCACCAAGGCCUUAAGGUGCCGGCGCACCAAGUUUGGAAUGGUGGUUCACUCCUUGAAUUAGUCACAAUGUAACAACUCCUUGCACUCACUCACCCUUCCAAGCUCAUGCUAAGCCUUGGAUUAUCACUUUUGCACUUUUGGUAGCAUAAAUAUGUUCUUGACUGAGUGUUGAUCUUGAAUGAACUUGUGCACACAACAACUCUAAAUGGGUGAGUAGAGGGGGUAUAAAUAGCCCAUGGACCUCAAAGUAUCGUUGCUCCAAUGGAUAGUAAAAAUAGUGAGCAUCAGAUGACCGGAUGAUCACUUGGGGUAGGCAUCAGAUCAUCCGGAGCCCCCUGCUAAGGCAUAUAGCCAUUGGACCCCUUGCCCAAAAUUGCUCCGAUGCUUCAUCCAAUGGCCAUCGGAUCAUCCGACUCUUUGUCCGAUGGUACCAUCGGAUCAUCUGGUGCUGAUGAGUUUUUGCCAAAAAUUCUCUGGAUGAUUUUAAAGUAAAAUGUGCUUAGUCCGAUAGUCACAUGCACAAGGGUGUCGGAACAUCCGGUGCUUCAUUCCUCCGUGCCUCCUCGUCACCGAUUCAUCCGACGCUCACAAAAAGUAGGCCAUCAGAACAUCCAGUGGUCUUGUUCAUGUACAACCGCUACUGUAGCCACCGGUUGAUCCGAUGCCUUUUGUCCGAUACCCAUUGGAUCAUUCGGUGCCCUUCUACAUGUUGUACCAAUUGCUCCAAUGCUUACUCCAUUGCUUCGUCCGGUGCACUGUCGUAUCAUCCGGUGUUAUGCGUUUUUUGUUUUGAAUACCGUUGUUUGGAUUCUCUGGAUAUUCUUUGUCAUUUAGACACUUGAAUACCGCAGAAUAACCGUAGAUACCAUUGUUUGGAGUUGGACACUUGAACACCGCGAUUUGGAUCUUACCAUGGUUUGGUUUGCAUUCUUGCGACCUAUAAAACCUACAAGGUGUGUAUGCUAGACAAACCAUGAAUCCCAUAUGUUGUUACUCAAUCACCAAAAUCACAAACUAUAGUCUAAUGGGACCAUGUUUCGUACAUCCACCUAUGCCACUGCCAUCUUCUCUUGCGGAUCUUGCCGAGUAGAGGUACCACAGCAAGUUCCACCUGAGGGCAUGCAACAGCCACAAAGAUAUAGUGACCACACAUCUUGUGGGCGCCCGGCCCAUUAGGUAGUCCGCUCUAGAACUGUUAGUCAAUAGUUUAGUCACAAUCCAAAUAUAUUAAGGCUCCAAAAAAAAUUCGAAAGACUCCUUUUUCAUCAUUUUGUAAAUCAUGUGCCACAAGGAAGUAGCCUUUUUUGAUAGAAGUUAUGAUGAUUGUACUCGAAUUAGUCAAAGAGAUGUAGCCAAUGGUCCUAUACAUGUUUGCAUGUAGAAAUUAUGCAAGUUGAUACAUGGCCUUCCCCAUACUUGAAUUUUGGGUUCUCACUGCCCAUGCAUUGCCGAAGGUCUUGGGCUACUUCUUUGACACCUUGUUCACCGGCUGCUUCUUAGCGCCUUUCUUAAAAUCUCCCUUUGUCCACCUCACGUUGUUGGGGCCAUAAUUGGAGUCCUCAGAGCCAUAACGUACCAGGACCAUAUAUAUAUGGAACAUGCAUGAAUUCACCUGGAAUUACCUGGUUUAGUGAUUACUCCAUAGACCGUGGCUCUUCAAGUAGGUCUAUCAUAUCUAGAGCUAGCAGCUCAUAAUCAGCAAAUCAGGGGUGGUAUUUAGGGGGUUACUCGAUGAAGAAUCAAGAUACAUCUUUUCCUCGUUGUGCAAUAAGCUUAUCCAUGACCCCAUUCACAACUUGCGUAGUGACUUGACUAGUGGAAGGUCGAUCCAGCACCGGGCACCAGCAGACCACGAUGAAUGACGACGCCUGUGUGUCUGAGUGCUUCAGAGGAGGUUGUGAAAGCGUCGGUGCAUUAAGGUUGUCCGUUGUGUGGCUUUGGGUCUGAUUGGUUGCCCUAAAUGCCCGGGCCAACCUCCGCGUCAGAGCCAUGACGUACGAGCCAGGCCCCGCAUCCUCUCAUUGCACCUGCUUCCAGGCAACCAAUCAUUUGGAGUUGGACGGUGCAUCUCGCGGGCCUGUAAUUUGGGUCAUAUCUGCCUCACCAAUCACGCACUUUAUGUUUCUGGACCUUGGAGAGGCUGGGACGCCAUAUUAAUAAUGAUGGAUGAACGAGAGCAGACUAGUGCGGGCCUGUUCACUAACAAAGGUAAGUGCCAGAUUAGGUGUUUUUGUUCGCGUUUUGCUCUCUUCUCGACCACAAGAAAUACGUUUUCCAUAGUUCUAGUCGAGUUUUUUGAUCGCUUAAUUGGGGGUGAAGAAAGUAUUGGCGAUAAUCCAAAACCUUUGGCAAUCUGUCCGAAGCCAGGGGUAAAAUAAUUCGCAAGAAUGAAUGGACACAGGAAAGAAUACUGGAGAAUUGAAGACCUUCGCUUGCGGUUGUUACCUCUGGGUCGACUGUUACAUUUACAUUUGAACUGACCCAAAUUGGUAUAAAACGUACUCAACCUUUUCAAUCUCUCUAUAUGAACUCAAGCCUUCCACAAAUCACAUUAGGUCAGUUUCCACGGUUUCGUUGUACAGUUACUAAGACUGAGAAAUUGGUAACUGUACCUAAGGAGUGUCAUGGGGAUGAAACCCCUCUCACAUCUGAUGAAACUCUCACUUCUCCUUUCUCAUAAUGCCUUGCUAAGUCAACAAAAUUGCUGAUGUGGCAUACAAUUUAAUGCUCAUAAAACUCCCAUAAAAUUAGUAGGGAUGAUAGAGACUCAAGAUCUUAGUUGGUAUUCAAUGGUGCACCACUUAUCGCAAUAAAUGGUAUAGUUAAAUUAAAGUAUGGAAUGCAACAAAAUGGCAUGUGUCAAACAGUACACUCUACUCCCUCCAUCCCACAAAGGCUGUUCGUUUAUAAAAUUUUAGACAAAAUAGUAGCAAUGCUACAAGUCCAAAGUACUCCUAAUAACUCUUCUUAAUCGGAUGGAUUACCGAGUAGAAUUAAUUAUGCAUGCACGCUUGCAGUAAUUGUCGAACCUAUUAGUUUUCUUUAUUUAGUGAGUCUGGCUUGGGCAUGGAUGGUUGGAGAUGAUUGGAGUAAAUGAUCGAUUCGUUAACUGGGCCAGAAGGUAUUAUGAGGCCUUUGUUGAAGUGUCCAAAAAUUAUAUGGAUACUCUUUGUGGGACAAGUUUUGAAGGCUAAACGAACAAGUCUUUGUGGGACCGAGGGCGUAUGUGCGUAAGGUGAGACAAUUGUUUCUUUGCUAAAUAGUUGAUGAAAAUUGAUAGGCCAGCUUCCAUGACAAACUUCGGAAUGCAACACACCCUCACAAGAGGAAGCAAGUCAGCGCUCUAUGAUAUGGAAUUCAUCUCCACUAAUUACUUUUAUGCAUUGAUCCAUGCAUUUACUUUAGCGUACACAGAUACAAAUAUCCCUCAAUUCAUUUGCUUAUAACGAAUAAUUCAUUUUUGUCCUUGCUUCCUUCGAUGAUUAUUGGCAAUAACAACACGAAGUUGCCACAAUAAAUAUCAAUUUAUGAUAUGUUAUGAAAUGCAGAAUCUCCAAAUGCUAAUUAGAAAUUACUCCCAUAACAUGUAAUGUCCUCAUGAAAGGCCUCUAGCCUAGUGGAUAGAGUACCUGAGUAGCAUCAAGUAGGCUCGAGUUCGACUCCCCGUGGGAGCGAAUUAAAUAGGUUUAGAAUAAAAAAAUUAUAAAAAAUUAGGUAGGAAAACAUGUGAUGUCCUGGUCAAAAUGGUUUGCAGCUCUCCGGUAUUUGGUACCCUCCAUAUAUGACGAAUUAAGACUGCGAAUGUCCAAACCAUUCUGAUCGCCAAUUCAGACUGAUCACAUAUUUCAGUGAAUGACACACAUCUAAGAUUAAGCUUUCCACUUUCCAUGGUACCAUGAGGCAAAGGUAUGUCUUUGAAGUAUAUCAGGUUUCUUUCAAUAUGAUCCGAUGUGAAACUUUUUUGUGCCUCUUGGAGGUAGGGAAUUACAUUCAUAAUAGUUUCCACUACAUGCCAGUGACUCAGAGAAAUAAACUGACCAAAUCUGACCAAUCUAUGACUAGAGAUACAACUACUACAGAUCCUCAUUCGUGCUGACUUCUAAUAACCCAUGUCCCUGACGUUUAUGCAUGUGGCAAUAAUUUAGCGACAUGGAUAGUAGCUAGAGAGUCAUCUAUGCCAGAUGAACAAUCAGCUGUGAGAAUCAUUUCCCGUACCGGUUAUACAUGUUCUUUUUUAAGCCAGCAUGCAUAAUGUCAUGUGCCUGCCAACAUUAUCCUAGGGGCCAAUUCAAACAAUGUUAUAUAUGUGCCGUUUUUUCUUUUAAAGAAACGGGGAGAUAUGUUCAUUUACCAGUGAUGUCGGCGAAGGACGUUGGGUACCAGUUACAGAAGUUUGCAUAUUACAAAGUGAAGACCAGACCCUCACUCAAAAGCCUGAAUUGUAGCACAACCACGGACACAAAAGUUUGCAUAAGUGAACACAGACCCUAGCUCAAAGGGAUAAAUUGUAUCACAAGCACAGAGAACAAAUCCAAGUUCGCGUUAAUUUCAGCCCAUGAGUGAUUGCUGGCAGGAGGCUAAUGAAGAGCCUCGCCGCGCUGUGUGCUACAGGUGCUGCAUCUUCCCACACAGUGCGUGCGGCACGUGGUACUGUUUCAUUAUUGGAUGGUUCAGGAAGUAGGUCACCAUAUACCACCUUUCUAAAUUAUAUUCUUAGGUCAGAUUGACAAGAGAUGAAAAGUUGUAGUUUAACAGAAAAAUGUGAUGCAUAUUGAGAACAUGUAAUUUACGAUUCACAUAUUUUUUUCUAAAACACGAUUGCUACUUGAAAACUGCCUAUUAAUACCGGGGUUCAAACUCCACCUUUAAUCUCGGUUUUGAAGCCAGUAGUGCGAAUCCAGGACUCGAAGUCCUGACCUCGAGUAUUGGGUCACUCACCUGAUAAUAAAACGAUAAUUUAGGACCUGUUGGUAACACCAACAGAUAUUAAAAGGUUUUGCGUCAAGAAUAUAUUUCAAAUUUCGACAAAUCUUAAUUCACGUAAUUUUUCACGCGAAAUAUACACGUGCAGUGCGUAGGACUUAAACUUUGGACCUCUUGCCUCGUGUGUACCCUCGUUACCAUCGCACCUACACAAUACUGGGUACAUAAGAGAUGCUUUAUUUUUGAAAUAAUCUGUGGAUGACCCUUUACUACUGGUGCGGUAAGACAAAUCGGAAUGUUACUUUUAGUACCACCAACCGGUACUAAAGCCUCGAGAAGCAUUAGUACCGGGUGGCAAUACUAAGGUCCUGUUUGGGAGGAAGGGGCUAAAAUUUAGCCCUGGCUAAACUUUAGCCCUCUCAAAUAAAAGGGCUAAACUUUAGCACCUUGGGUGUUUGGGAAGAGGGCUAAAAUUUAGCACCUCUUCUGUAAAAUGUCCCUUUUGCCCCUGCCGUGCUGCCCCUCCCACCAUUUUCCUCUCAGUCGGAGUUGAGCAGGGGCUUCUCGGGCGGCCGCAGGGUGCAAGCGGCUAGCAGCAGCGGCGCCGGCGAGCGCGCCGAGGAGGCGGCGGAACGCGGCGGCAGGGCAGGGAAUGAGCCGGCGCGGCGCGGAUCCGGCUGCAGCGGCGGUGGCGAGGCGGACUGCUCUGGCGGUCUCCACUGAUGCCGCCGCCGCCGCCUUGCUGCACCAGUCCGCCGCCACCGACAAGCCGAAGCCAAGCGAUCCCCGCGGUCGCAGAAGGGCGCCGACGCCUCCUCGUCCUCCCUGACGCUGCGGCUCCACUCCCGAGACUUCCUCCCGGGUGAGCAGGGCCCUCCCUGGUGCUCUCCCGCCUCCGCCGCCCGAUUCGAUUCGGUUCGAGCCGCCGCGGCCGGAAGGAAUCUCGCAGGCCAGAGGAGGAACAACCCCUGGCCGAAUCGGCGAUGGCGACCCACCCGGCCUCCCCGACUGCCGGCGUCGGCGACGACAGGUUGCCGUCCGGGCCGCCGCCGGUGCGCCUGUCCGCGGCGCAGGCGAUGGCGGCGAUCCAACCCACCUCACCGUGGUUCUUCUUCUCCUCGCUGGCCGCGGCGUCCUCCCCGCACCGCCGCAUCGGCAUCGCGGUGGACCUCUCGGACGAGUCCGCCUUCGCCGUCAAGUGGGCCGUCCAGAACUACCUCCGCCCUGGGGACGCCGUCGUGCUGCUCCACGUCCGCCCCACCUCCGUUCUCUACGGCGCCGACUGGGGCUCCAUCCCGGUCUCCGUUGACGACGAGCCCGACGCCGGCAUCGCUGAGGGCGCGGCGCACGCCGCGGCCACCUCCGGGGAGGAGGAGACCGAGCCCGAGGAGGCGAAGAAGAAGCGGGAAGAAGAAGCGGAGGUGGCGGGACCGGCGGGCGAGGCGGAGGCAGUGGGGUGCCGUGCGGCGGGACCUAGCGGGGAGGAGUGAGAGGGAGGAGGGAGAGAGAGGGGUAAAGGGAGGAAUUUUGGACAAUGGGACCACUUUUAGCCCCUUUAGUCCAUUUUAGCACCUCUUGGAGGGCUAAUGGAUUAUGGAGGGCUAAAAUUUAGCCCCUCCAUUUUAGCCUAGGUGUUUGGGAGCACUAGGGGCUAAAAGUGACUAAAAUGGGGGUGCUAAAAUUUAGCACCCCCCUCCCAAACACCCCUUAACUAAUACUAAAAUCUAUGUUUUAGUACCAGUUGGUGUUACCAUCGAGGUACUACUAAUGCUAGCCGGUAUAUAUGUCGGAUGGAAAAUUAUUUUUCUAGUAGUGUAUGUACUCCCAGUUAGCACAAAGUUUUGCACACAGUGCUAGUUUUACGAUGCCCGCAAACGUCCCCUAAGGGCCUGUUUGACCCAAACGAUGAUGACAAAGUGCGGAGACUACGUGCAGCGGCCAGGAAUGCAAUCGGGUGGGAAGUGCUGGGAAGGAUAUGACAGCCAUGUAGAGGUAACCCGAACUGUUACACCUAACUAUCACGCUCGACUGCAGAGGUCCCUAAUGGAAAGAUUAUACGAGUGGAAUUCGACAGAAACAUUAUUAUCAAUGGUAAAAUAAUGACGAACAAAAUUAAUUUUUUGAUUAUUAGUCGAGGGACAAGAACGUUCCGCGGUGAAAAAUAACCAUGCGUAGCAAAAAUAAUGGUGGACUGGUGGGAGGAACCAUCACUGACAAAGGAAGAAGACGGAGGUCAGUGGGAAGCCAGAAGUAUACAGCCAUAUGAAGCCAUGUGAGAUGUGGCUCCAUGAAUCCAUGCCACUCACCGGAUAGACAUGGCAGUAGCGACACGGUGGUAAAGGGAGUUCAAUAGAGGGACCUGAUGCCACGGACCAGUGCCGGAUGUCCACGGCGCUGGGUGGUGGGUCAGGCAGGUGUGCCUACACGCCCACCGACCACCGAGCGCUGGAACACCAAAUUAAAGCCAGGUACAGCUAGGACAGAGAUCUCCAGGAUGGGCAGCAGAGACUGUUAGAAGCCAGGUCCAUGUGUUCUAGAAACAUGGAUGCCAAGAGAUAACCAGCAGGGUAAUGAACACCGGCGGCUAACAUGCGGAAGCGAGGGUUGCAAGAUGCGAACCAUUCGUGAUACUCGUGAUCCUAGAACACAUGCACCUAGCUGCUCCGCGUGCGCUCUCGAGUCUUGUCGUUGUUUCUUAUUAGCAUUACUCCAAUCUACUCAUGCAGCAUCAGGAUCGGAUGAGAUUGAGUUGGUAAUCGCAAUAACGUUCUUUAGCAUACUUAGAUAGAGUAUGCUAAGGCAAGGAAUUAUAUUUAAUUAAAAGCAGCAUAGUGUAUAACCAUUCCUGAUCAUGCCACAGCGCAUACUAGAGUACAAAGAGAUAUGCAAAUUUGUGGUUGUUGGCAUAAAACAUUGUCUACAGUUCUCCGUUUAUUAUUCAGAUUACCUUGAACAACUCUUGCACCCUUUUUUUGGAUAUAUUAUACAUCUACUGGUUGUUUAUGACUGUCACUGUAUUUCUGGACAUUAACUUUUCUGUACACUGUUUUAUCUAAUAUAUAGAACUUAGACAUGCAGCGGCAAGCACAUAAUAUACGGCAUAUCAACCCAGCAUAACUUCAUCACACCACCAUGUGUCCUGGUUUGUAGUGACAGAUGGGAAAAUGACUUCCAUUCCUGCAUCAUACUUUUGGGUGGCCCCAACCACCACGUGAUCCACGCGUUGCAAUAUUGUAAUAGUUUAUAUAUAUGAUAAUUACUCCAGCUGUCCACCACCUCACAAUCAUACGUAUAUCAGACGUCAAUUCUCCAACAGUUGAGCUAACACUAGCUUUAUGCUUAUAUCCAUCUCAUAAAAAUUAUAGCUAAGAGAUAGCUUCUCCAAUAAUUUGUUUUCUAACCCAUUGCUCAAACCAUCUUGCACUAUUAGAAAAAUAACAUUUCGUCCCUCCUUAGCACCUGCUACAUUUUGACCUAGGUAUUAAUCCUAAUAUUAGUACCGGGUCCAAAUUUAGUAGCCUCCGGGGACCUUUUAGUACUGAGUCAUAACACCACCCGGUACUAAAAGAUCACUUUCAUGGGUUACUUCAAAAGAAAAGCAUCUCUUAGUCCAUAACAUGUGAUGUGUAAGUAAGAGGGUAAGAAGGUUUAUGCCAGACUUGAGGUCACGGGUUCUAAUCCCAUGCACCACACAUGUGCAUAUUGAGUGUGAAAAAUGCGUGUAGGUGAGAUGGUAAAGAAGAUUUGUGCCAAGUUUGAGGUCGCGGAUUCGAAUCCCAUGCACCACAUAUGUGCAUAUUAAGUGUGAAAAAUGCGUGUAGGUGAGAUGGUAAGGAAGGUUUGUGCCAGGUUUGAGGUCGCGGGUUCGAAUUCCAUGCACCACGCAGAUACAUAUUAAGUGUGGAAAAUGCGUGACUUGGGAUGUUGCGCAUGUAUGUGAGCCUCCGGAUUGUUAAAAAAAAUAUUUUGUUAUUUUUUGAGCACAAAACCAUUUAGUACCGUUGGUGAUGUUACUGACCAGUACUAAUUUGGCCCUACCAGGUGGAUGACCCAUGCAUGCUAAAGAGACCACUGGUGGAGAACUGAAGACCAGUACUAAUUUGCGCAUAUAUUACAUCUACUGGUUGUUUAUGAAACUAACUGUCACUGUACUUCUGGACAUUAACUUUUCUGUACACUGUUUUAUCUAAUAUAUAGAACUUAGACAUGCAGCGGCAAACACAUAAUAUACGGCAUAUUAACCCAACAUAACUUCAUCACACAUCCAUGUGUCCUGGUUUGUAGUGACAGAUGGGAAAAUGAUUUCCAUUCCUGCAUCUUACUUUUAAGUGGCCCCAACCACCACGUGAUCUACGUGUUGCAAUAUUGUAAUAGUUUAUAUGAUAAUUAGUCCAGAUGUCCACACCUCACAAUCAUACGUACAUCAGAUGUCAAUUCUCCAACCAUUUAGUAUAGAUUGAUGUUACUUACCUGUACUAAUUUAGCCCUAGCAGGUGGAUGAACCAUACUAAAGAGGCCCCUUUAGUAUCGACUUCGCGAUAUGGGUUGUGAAACCGGUACUAAAGAGUUUAAAGACGGUACUAAAGCUCACUCCUGGAAAACAUGGUUUAGUACCAGUUGGUUUUUGACCCAGUAAGAAUAUGAGCACUAGUACCGGGUCUAACAGCUAGUUCCUCAGGAGCCACCCGUAACCCCCUUUAGUACCGGUUGGGGGCUCCAACUGGUACUAAAGGUCACUCAUUAGUACCGGGUGGAGCUUGCACCCGGUACUAAUGCCCUCAACCCUAUAAAUCAGGUGUUUUCUAUAAAUCAGGCGUUUUCUUUCUCCUGCGUGAGCUAUUUCCUCCAGCUCAGGCUUCAUCCAUUCAUGACAAAAUAGGGGAGGUGCUGCCGGAUUUUUGACUAUUUCAUGAGGAUUUCACUCAUUCAAGUGUUCUAAAGGUUAGAAGCUUCAUCCUCCCUUUAUAUAUGGUUCGUAUACUAAGUUUAAUGCUUUAGAGCUAGAGUAAUUUGUGAUUUUUAGAAUAAGGUACAAUGGAGAAAUUUUUCAUUUAUAUGUUAUGUUUAAGCUAAAUAAAUUGUGGGGAAAAAAUAAUUUGUUCGUAGUUUAGUCAUUCGCAAAUAUAAGAUAAAUAAAUUAUGGUACAUAGAGAUGGCUACUGUUGCUAGAGGUAGUGGCGAUGGUGGGGGCGAUCGUUGUUCCUAUCGCGGCAAGGGGAAAACCAUAAUUGGCCCUCAUGAUAAGCCGAAGAAAAUGAACACGUGGGAGAGAGGAAUGCUUCAUUAUUUGAAAAGAUGUCAUGAAGAUGCUGUUGUGGUGGGUCCGAAACCUCCUUUUGGUGGUUGUUAUGUCCCACCGCCAGUCCCUAAUUGGCCCUCAUGAUAAGCCGAAGAAAAUGAACACGUGGGAGAGAGGAAUGCUUCAUUAUUUGGAAAGAUGUCAUGAAGAUGUUGUUGUGGCGGGUCAGAAACCUCCUUUUGGUGGUCGUUAUGUCCCACCGCCAGUCCCGGGGGUUUCCGGUCCACUGAGUACUACCAUCGCAGGAGGCACAAAUAAACCACAGGAUGAGGCUGGGUCAGCGAAACCUUCAUCUUCACCGUCCAAGGAUGCUUAAAGUCCUCCUAGAUAGAACUGAGUGGAUGGUUUGUCGUAGUGUAUCAUGUUGUUUGGGUCUGAAAUUUAAAUUUGUGUAUUUCUAUCUAAACUUUCAGCAACAUUUGAGUUUGUCGUAGUGUAUCAUGUUGUUUGGGUCUAAAAUUUAAAUUUGUGUAUUUCCAUCUAAACUUUCAGCAAUAUUUGAGUUUAAUACAAUUUGUAUUAUGUUUGUUAUGUUUCAUAUAUAGUUCUAUGGAUGAUCAGAAUAUCUUUGGUUCAGUAAUACUUUGUACAUGGAUCGGCAAUGGAUGUAAAACAUAGACAAAUGCUCCAUGGAGUACAUUAAUGGACUGCAUGGUUUUCUCGAUCUGACAGAGUCCAACAAGCCGUCGCCUAGUUUCUUUUGUUGUCCAUGCUGAAUUUGCAAAAAUUAGAAGGAUUAAUCAUCCAUAAAGACUAUCCACUCCCACAUAUACAGUUCGGGAUUCAUGACUAACUAUUUCGUUUGGACCAUGCACGAGAAAAGAGGAGUUAUGAUGGAAGAUGAUGAUAGUGAAGAAGAUGAUAACUACAUUCCUAACUUGACUCAAGGAGGUUCCUUUGCAGAUGCUGCAAUGGGUGAGGCUGAAGAAGAGAUGGUUGCAGAAGAAGGUCCUACCAAUGAUCUAGGUCAGGUGUUGUGAGAUGCGAAGGAAGACUGCGAGAAUUUGAAGGAGUCAAACAAAUUUGAGCGUAUGUUAGAUGAUCAUAAGAAAUUGUUGUACCCAGAUUGCAAGCAGAGGCACAAAAAGUUGGGUACCACACUGGAAAUGCUGCAAUGAAAGGCAAAAAAUGGAGUUUCUGACAAGAGUUUUAUGAGUUAAUGAAAAUAAUGAAGAACAUGCUUCCCGAGGGGAAUGAAUUGCCAUCCUCAACGUACGAAGCGAAGAAGGUUGUUUGCCCUCUAGGUUUGGAGGUACAAAAGAUACAUGCAUGUCCUAAUGACUGUAUCCUUUAUCGCGGUGAGAAAUACGAGAAAUUGGAGGCUUGUCCUAUAUGCAAAGCACCAUGUUAUAAGAUCAAGCGAGAUGACCCUGGUGAUGUUGAUGGGCAGGCUAGCAAGAAGAAAGUUCCUACGAAGGUAUUGUAGUAUUUCGCUGUAAUACCACGCUUGAAGCGUUUGUUUGGAAACAACGCACAUGCAAAAUUGAUGCAUUGGCACAAAGAAGAAUGUAAGCAAGAUAAAAUGAUCAGACAUCCCUCUGAUGGGUCCCAGUGGAGAAUAUUUGAUAGAGAAUUUCCUGAGCUUGAAAAGGAUGCAAGGAACAUACAGUUUGGUUUAAGUACAGAUGGAUUGAAUCCAUUUGGUGAGUUUAGUAUAGCACUUGGACUGUGACCUUAUGUAUGUUCAACCUUCCACCCUGGAUGUGCAUGAAGUGGAAGUUUAUUAUGAUGCUGGUAAUUAUCCAAGGCCCAAAAUAACCUAGCAAUGACAUUAAUAUUUAGCUAAGGCCGUUGGUUGAUGAAUUUUUACUAUUAUGGAACGAAAAUGUGUAUGUGUGUGGGAUGAGGACAAAAAGGAGACUUUUAAUCUAUGAGUAUUGUUGUUCGUAACCAUCAAUGAUAGGCUAGCGCUUGGUAAUCUGUCCGGAUAGACAAACAAGGGAUAUCGAUCCAGCACGCACUGUUUAGAUGAUACUUGUAGCAUAUAUUUGAAACACUGUAGGAACAUCAUGUAUACGGGCCAUCGUCAAUUUCUUCCUGCUAAGAACCCGAUAAGAAAGAAAGGGAAGCAUUUUAAAGGGAAGGAAGAAAAACAUACUAAACCCAUUCACCGUAAUGGUAAACGUGUAUUUUCUAUGAUAAAGGAUGUGACGGUAGUCUUUGGCAAGGGCUUUGGUAGCCAACUUGUUUCGAAUGACGAGAACGGACAUGCACCCAUGUGGAAUAAGAAUUCUAUAUUUUGGGAGCUACGUUAUUGGAAAGUCCUUGAGGUCCAUAAUGCAAUCGAUGUGAUGCACCUAAUGAAAAAUCUUUGCGUGAACGUGUUUGGCUUCCUGGGUACAUAUGGAAAGGCAAAGGAUACAAUAGAAGCACGUUGGGACCUGAAAAGUAUGAAACAACGAGAUGGCCUACAUCCAGAAAAAAGAGAUGAUGGACAUUACUUGCAUCUUGCUAGUUAUAUUCUCAGUAAGGAAGAGAUUUUUGUUCACCUUAUUGAAGAGAUUUUUUGUUCUCAAUCCUGUAUUUCUACACAAUAUGUUCCCUUUCGAGAGGUUUAUGGCAGUUCUGAAGAAGUAUAUUCAUAAUCGUGCCUGUCCAGAAGGAAGCAUCGCAAUGGGAUAUGGAACAAAGGAGGUCAUCGAGUUUUGUGUUGACUUUAUUGACGAUCUGAGUUCGAUGGGAGUCCCUAUAUCACGCCAUGACGGGAGACUCAUGGGAAAUGGCACACUAGGGAGGAAAGCUCAAAUGGACAUCAAUGAGAGUACAUUUCGUAAAGCACACUUCAUGGUCCUGCAACAAUAAUCCCUAGUGGAUCCAUACUUGGAGGAGCACAAGAACAUUGUACUGUCCACAAACCAGGUGAAGAUUGAGGCCUAGAUUACAUGUCAUCACAUUGACACUUUCGCAUCUUGGUUGCAACGAGGACUGAUGGGUGAUGAUACAAUUGAAGAGCAACUGCAUGGUUGGCUAGAGGUCCAUCUAUCUUAGUAUCGACAUUCCAAGGAUACGAGAUAAAUGGGUACACAUUUUACACGAUAGCCCACGACCAAAAGAGCACAAACCAAAAUAGUGGUGUCUGUAUAGAUGCAAUAAAUAACAAUGGAAAAAAUGAUAGAUACUAUAGUGCCAUUGAGGAGAUGUGGGAACUCGACUAUGGACCUUUGAAAAUCCCUCUGUUUCGGUGCCAAUGGGUCAAAUUUGCUGGAGGAGGCGUUACGACAGACAACUAUGGGAUGACAAUAAUGGACCUAAAUAAGAUUGGAUACAGAGAUGAACCGUUUGUCCUAGCCAAUGAUGUGUCUCAAGUUUUAUAUGUGAAGGACAUGUCAAGCAAACCAAAACAGAAGGGUGCUAAUAAGUCAGAUGACCAGCCAAAGCACCACAUAGUUCUUCCAGGGAAAAGAAAAAUCAUUGAAGUUGAGAACAAAAUUAACAUUUCAUAUGAUUAUGAUCAGUUCGAUGAUCUUCCUCCAUUUUCAGUCGAGGUUGACCCAAGCAUCCUGUUAGCCAAAGAGGACACUCCAUACUUACACCGCGAUCACAACCAAGGGACGUUCGUCAAGAGGAAGGUUAUUAACGUUCCAUUAGAUGAUGAUGUGCAAUGUAUUAGAACCAUUAUGCUAUGUUUUGUGGUCAAGUGUGAAAUUAAUGUAAUAACGCAUUGUAAUGAUAUGUAAUGUAUUGGGGCCAAGUGACAAAGUUUUGUGGUCAAGUGACAAAGUAAUGUAAUAACGUUCUAUGGAGUUAUUAAACAAGAACUAAUUUUUGCAUGGUUAAAAUAUUAAUUAUUUUGAUUUUUUAGUACCAUUAAAUACUAAAUAAUAAAUUUAGAUACAAUUAAACAAGUACAUGACUAAGUCAUGGUAAACAUGUUAAUAACACUACAUACACUAUUUUUAUAGAUUUUGCAUGGUCAAAAUAUUUAUUUUUUCUAAUUUUUAAGUUAACAUAAGUUUUUUGACCAUUUAUAACCUAUUACUAACUUAAUAUUACUAAUUUUACUAUGUUUGAUAUUUAAUUGCAUCUAAUAUUUUUAUUGUGUAGAUCAAAUCAACAUCAAGAUAACAAUUUUUUUUUGCAAUUUUAUGUACGUUAUUUAAUUUACAAUGCAAUAAAUAAAUAUAAUAGCAAUUUUAAAAGAAAGAAAAUAAAACAUUUGUCUUGGCGGGAACUGCACCCGGUACUAAAACGGUGCGUUUUCGUUUCACGCGCGGCGCACACCCUUUAGUACCGGGUGUAGCUACCAACCAGUACUAAAGUGAUGGCCUUUACUACGAGUAGUAACCACCACCCGAUACUAAACGGCAUUAGCACUGGGUGGGGGUGAGGCCCACUACUAAAGGGGGAGGAUAAAAACCCCAUCCCCUUCCUCCCCAACACUUAGCCACGAUUGUCACCCCCUUCCUCACCGGAUCCUCCGCCGCCGCCCCUCCUCCACGCCACCUGCCGCCGUCGUGUGGCACCCCCAGCACCUUCUCUGAUGCCACACGCCCCCGUUGACCUCAUCGCCGCUAUCACCCCCGUCGCGUGCGCGCCUCCGUCGCACCCAUCACCGACGCCACCCCUCCUCGAUCGGCACCGCCUCCUCCUCCACCAUACCAGCGCUGCCUCCACUCCGAUACCACCGGCCUCCCGCCCGACACCGACGCUGCCCCCGACCCGGCCGUCGGUGCCUCCCCCACUUCGCCACCUCUCCUCCACCGCCGCCACCCCUCCUCUACCGUACCGGUGCCACCUCCUCCACUCCAUGCCAGCUUCCUCCCCGUUGACGCGCCGCCGGCCAGCCACCCCGACACCGGCGCCGCCCCCGACCCGGCUGCCGGCACCUCCACCACUCCGACACCGCCGGCACCGCCCCCAACCCAUACUCUCCGCUAUCAGAAGCUCGAGGGGCUGAUCUCAUUUUUUUUAAAAUUUUUUAUUUCUAGAAAUGUUGAAUUAGCUAGAAAAUAUGGAAAAAAUGUUGAAUUAUCUAGAAAAUAUAGAAAGUUUCUUGAAUUAGCUAGAAAUCCUAUUAAUUGUUAAUUGUACAGCAUGCUAUGUUAGAAAAUUGUGUUAAUUGUUAGAAAUGUCUAGAAAGACUAGAAAACUACUUUGAUACUUUUAGAAAUUACCAAAUUAUUUUAGAAAUCGUGUUUAUUUUGUUAGUCAAUUAUUGUUACAAAAUGUAUAAAUAUUAGUCAUUCAUUCCAUAGUCAAUCAUUGUUACAAAAUGUAUUUAGUCAUUCUUUUUUUGUCAUUUACUAGCAAUUCACAGUAAACAAUAAUUGUUGUAGUCAUUUAUUGUAACAAAUUGUAUAGGUGUUUAACUCUCUUCUUGUUGUCAUUUACUAGCAAUUCACAGUAAAUAUUAUUGUAGUCAUUUAUUAUAACAAAAUGUAUAAGUGUUUAAUUUAUUUUUUUGUUGUCAUUUACUAGCAAUUCACAGUAAAUAUUGUUGUAGUCAUCAGUGGGUAAUGUCGACGUAAGCCCCUCUCAACGUUGAAGCAGCGUCGCUUCCACAGAAACCCCAGCUGGAGAAUCUUCAGACAUGGUUGAGAACAACCAAUGCCACUCCAUGUAUUACAUCACUAGGUGGGCCCCUUGUGAACUUGUUACUCCCAUGAAAAAUAAGCUCAUCGUGGUGGCUUAUAGUGUGGUUGAACAAACAACAUAAGGCAUAACAAUUCAUGGCGUGGAGAUUCCAGCUCGUGGUUACACCAAAGUUGGGGUGGACUGAGUGGUCAACGGUUGGGAUGACCUCGAACUGGAGGUACCUAGAGGUGACAGGGAAAAGAAUGUAGGAGAAGCCAUCCAUGGUUGGAUUCUAUGGCCCAAGCACUACUUAAGGAUUCCGCAACCAAAUCCCCCAACCUUGGGAUUAUCUCCUUAGGGCUCAAGGGCAAGAUCACCUACGCUAUCUGCCAGGGCACGCUCUCCACUAGCGGACAGGGAUCCUAGCAUGAGUCCACUAUCUGACAGGGAUCCUAGCAUGAGUCCACCUCCCCCUAUUAUGAGCAAGGCUACAUGGCAAAAGACGCUCUUAGUUUUGACUACAAAGAAGAAGCAGAAGCAGCCGAAGGAGAAGUAACCAGAGCCUAAGAAAGCUUACGAGAAGAUUGAUGUGGAAAUCAACGUAGUAGUGGAUGUUGAGGUUAAAGCUCACUUCGUACCAAAGUCUCCCAUGAAGAAAGAUCCACCACUUGAUAAGGUUAAAUUUCGGGCUUUCAUUAGAGGCAUGGAGUUGGAGAAAAAGAAAAAGCCAGAGAGCAACCACCACUAUUUGACUACAACAGCACAAUAACAAAGACUUUUCAGAAGAAAAAGAAAAGUAGGUCAAGUAUUCCAUAGCUUGGAACCCAAUCCAACUAAUCGAUUGCCCCACUCCAGGUGAUUUCAAAGUUUGAUAAGAACCUGCUUCUAUAUGCUAAAGAUACAAAUCUCAUCGUAGCUCAACUUCGAGGGGAGGAUCACAUCCCAAAGCACCAUGGGGCUGGUAAAUGAAAAUUUGAGUUAGGGAAAGAGCUUGUGUGGCUGUAGUUGGUGGACUGUCUUUCAAUAAAGAUGUACAAAUUGCACCAAUGGUACAUGGAGGCUUCAGCCACCGGUUUACUCAUGCUAGAAGUUCGGAUUGGAGAUCAGUAUUAUUUUCAUGGUGAUGCCAUUAUAAAUGUGCCACUCAAGGAACUUUAUUUCCUUUACAAUAUCAAGACGCACUUAACAAAUCACUCAUUAGUUCUUAUGUUCUAUAAGUGUUUAAUUUGCUCUAACUUCAAAAUCUUCGCUCUAGUCAUUGUGGGAUGUCUUAUCUCCUAUUCUAUUUUGUAUCAUGCAGGAUGGAGAUUCAAGCUUGCCGAAGGAUAGGAUUGUAUGACGUCGGCUUCAUGGACUCGGAUAUUAUAAACAAGACAGAUGUAAGAGAUAAAUAAAAUCGGACCUUGAAGAAUAUAUAUAACUUCUUGGACAAGCAACAUUAGAAGAAGUACAUACUUCUGUCGUACAACUUCAAGUGAGUGUGUUUCCCAUCUCUUUUAUUUUUUGAACUAGCAGUAAAAGUAAGACUAAGUAGCUUUUCACUAUGCAUAUAUGUACAGCUUCCACUAGAUACUCCUUGUUAUCGUGGUUGAUCAAGGCAUGGUCUAUAUCCUGAACUCUCUAAGGAGACCAAGAAAUCAAUACACCGAUGUCAUAGACAUUCUUAAUAGAGCAUGGGCUCGCUUCCAUCAACGUCACUCAAGUGAAUUUAAGGAGCAACUUCAUAUCCACUUUGAAUUCCCGGUAUGUAUUGAAUUUGCACAUCUCAUGUCACUUCCUUGAACCCAACAAAUAUUUCAUAACUUCUUUUACCGUAUAUAUAGUGUUUGAGAUAGAAUCUGAAGAAUAAUUUAUGCGGAUACUACGUAUAUGAGUGUAUCCAUGGCUUUGUAGGUUCCAAGCGUAUAACUGACCAUGAGUUCAGAGUACGUAUACAAAUUUCUUAACAAUAAAUUAAUUCUAAUUGUUCAGAUCCAUUGAUCUAAUAUAAUAACCUUUGCUAAUGACAUAGAUUAUGCACAUGAAAGAGGAACUCCUCGAGAUAGAAAAAAUCAGGGCAAUUCAAUAACAACUUAGUGGAAUUCUUUUAGAUGAGGUAGUAAAUCCAGUAGGAGAGUUCCAUAAUGAUGGAUCAAAUAUACAUCACCGUCAGGACUCGGGUCCAGAAUAGUUGAUCUAAAAUGUUGAACUUGGAGAGUUGAUGCAACGUAAUAUUAUUCAUAUACGUGUAUGCACAAUAUGUCUAUGUAUAAUAUUAUCUUAAUUGUAAUAUUAUAGAUCAAAUACAACUUCAUAUAUUGCGUAUUCGUAAGAAAAAAAUACAAAAUACUAAUAUAGAAUAAAGAAACAGAAAAGAAAAGAAAAGAAAAGAAAUAUAAAAGAAAAAAAGAAUUUAGUAUCGGUUGGUCUCCCCAGCCAGUACUAAAGGAACCCUUUUGUACUGACUUAGCAAUACUGGUUGCACAAUUGGUACUAAAGGGGGGUUUGGACCUAGUACUGAAGGCGCUUCCUCAGCAGUGGCUCACCUCUCCAUUAGUGUUGGGGAGCCCACUCUAUCGCUUUAUCGUCUCUCUUCCAUGUAAGCAAAAUGAUACUUGGCCGGCCUCCUAUGAGCCAGCUGAGUUGUUAUUGAUUGAGGACGCCUCACAGAUGCUUUCCAGUAGCAGGCCGAUAGGCAUUAUUUAAACCCUUCGUAGGCACUAACCCAGCAAUAGCAUCACAACGUUUUGUGACAAACGUAACACACAGAGUGACGGAGAGACAAACUACAAUGUCGGCAGGUUCCAAGAGCGUCCUAGUUCCCACUGAUGCCGAGCUGCUGCAGGCACAAGCAGAUCUAUGGCGCCACAGCCUCUACUACCUCACCUCCAUGGCGUUCAAGUGUGCCGUCGAGCUCGGCGUCCCAACUGCCAUCCAUAACCUGGGAGGGGCUGCAUCGGUGAAGGACCUGGUAACAACACUAUCCCUCCCGGAAACUAAGCUGCCGUUCCUGCGCCGUGUGAUGCGGUUGCUGGUCACCUCUGGCAUCUUUGCAUCUGAAAGCAGCGCCGAUGUGGAGACCUACCGCCUCAACCCUCUCUCCUGGCUCCUGGUGGAAGGUGUGGAUGCUGAAGACCACACCAACCAGAGAAGUUUCGUGUUAGCCACUGUCUCGCGGCAUUAUGUUGAAGCAGCGAUGUCCCUUGCUGACUGGUUCAAGAAGGAUUUGGCGCCCCCUCUCCCAUCGCCGUUCGAGGAACUACAUGGUGUGCCACUCCUUCAUGAGAAAACACCACUCUUGGACAAAGAUCUUCACGACGUUGUUCUUGAAGGUUUGGCAGCACAUGACAAUUUGGCAAUAGGAACAAUUAUGCGGGAGUGCCAUGAUCUUUUCCGGGGGGUGCAGUCGCUAACUGACUGCUGUGGGGGAGAUGGCACCACGGCGAGGGCUAUCGUCAGGGCCCACCCUAACAUCAAGUGCACCGUGCUUGACCUACCAGAAGUCAUCAAGACUGCACCAGCUGAUGGUGUCAUAAACUACGUUGCGGGUGACAUGUUCAAAUCUGUCCCGCCAUCUCAAGCUGUGUUGCUCA
rnacentral:lncRNA from 1 species